rnacentral:rRNA from 1 species
GGAAAAAGCGGAGCCGUAGCGAAAGCGAGUCUGAAUAGGGCGCAUAAGUAACAGGUCGUAGACCCGAAACCAGGUGAUCUACCCAUGUCCAGGAUGAAGGUAAGGUAAUACUUACUGGAGGUCCGAACCCACGCACGUUGAAAAGUGCGGGGAUGAGGUGUGGGUAGCGGAGAAAUUCCAAUCGAACUUGGAGAUAGCUGGUUCUCUCCGAAAUAGCUUUAGGGCUAGCCUCGAGGUAAAGAGUCAUGGAGGUAGAGCACUGUUUGGACUAGGGGCCCUUCUCGGGUUACCGAAUUCAGAUAAACUCCGAAUGCCAUGUACUUAUACUCGGGAGUCAGACUGCGAGUGAUAAGAUCCGUAGUCGAAAGGGAAACAGCCCAGACCACCAGUUAAGGUCCCCAAAUAUAUGUUAAGUGGAAAAGGAUGUGGGGUUGCUUAGACAACCAGGAUGUUGGCUUAGAAGCAGCCACCAUUGAAAGAGUGCGUAAUAGCUCACUGGUCGAGUGACCCCGCGCCGAAAAUGUACCGGGGCUAAACAUAUUACCGAAACUGUGGAUGAACCUCUUUAGAGGUUCGUGGUAGGAGAGCGUUCUAAGGGCGGUGAAGUCAGACCGGAAGGACUGGUGGAGCGCUUAGAAGUGAGAAUGCCGGUAUGAGUAGCGAAAGAAGGGUGAGAAUCCCUUCCACCGAAUAUCUAAGGUUUCCUGAGGAAGGCUCGUCCGCUCAGGGUUAGUCGGGACCUAAGCCGAGGCCGAUAGGCGUAGGCGAUGGACAACAGGUAGAGAUUCCUGUACCAGUGCUAAUUGUUUAACCGAUGGGGUGACACAGAAGGAUAGGGAAUCGCACGAAUGGAAAUGUGCGUCCAAGCAGUGAGUGUGAGAAGUAGGCAAAUCCGCUUCUCGCGAAGCAUGAGCUGUGAUGGGGAAGGAAAUUAAGUACGGAAGUUCCUGAUUUCACGCUGUCAAGAAAAGCCUCUAGGAAGAGUAGUACUGCCCGUACCGCAAACCGACACAGGUAGAUGAGGAGAGAAUCCUAAGGUGAGCGAGAGAACUCUCGUUAAGGAACUCGGCAAAAUGACCCCGUAACUUCGGGAGAAGGGGUGCUCUAUUAGGGUGCAAGCCCGAGAGAGCCGCAGUGAAUAGGCCCAGGCGACUGUUUAGCAAAAACACAGGUCUCUGCAAAACCGUAAGGUGACGUAUAGGGGCUGACGCCUGCCCGGUGCUGGAAGGUUAAGAGGAGUGCUUAGCUUCGGCGAAGGUACGAAUUGAAGCCCCAGUAAACGGCGGCCGUAACUAUAACGGUCCUAAGGUAGCGAAAUUCCUUGUCGGGUAAGUUCCGACCCGCACGAAAGGCGCAACGAUCUGGGCACUGUCUCAACGAGAGACUCGGUGAAAUUAUAGUACCUGUGAAGAUGCAGGUUACCCGCGACAGGACGGAAAGACCCCGUGGAGCUUUACUGCAACCUGAUAUGGAAUGUUUGUACCGCUUGUACAGGAUAGGUAGGAGCCGAAGAGACGUGUGCGCUAGCAUACGAGGAGGCAAUGGUGGGAUACUACCCUGGCUGUAUGACCAUUCUAACCCGCCACGCUUAGCGCGUGGGGAGACAGUGUCAGGUGGGCAGUUUGACUGGGGCGGUCGCCUCCUAAAGAGUAACGGAGGCGCCCAAAGGUUCCCUCAGAAUGGAUGGAAAUCAUUCGCAGAGUGUAAAGGCACAAGGGAGCUUGACUGCGAGACUGACAAGUCGAGCAGGGACGAAAGUCGGGCUUAGUGAUCCGGUGGUUCCGCAUGGAAGGGCCAUCGCUCAACGGAUAAAAGCUACCCCGGGGAUAACAGGCUUAUCUCCCCCAAGAGUCCACAUCGACGGGGAGGUUUGGCACCUCGAUGUCGGCUCGUCGCAUCCUGGGGCUGUAGUCGGUCCCAAGGGUUGGGCUGUUCGCCCAUUAAAGCGGCACGCGAGCUGGGUUCAGAACGUCGUGAGACAGUUCGGUCCCUAUCCGUCGCGGGCGCAGGAAAUUUGAGAGGAGCUGUCCUUAGUACGAGAGGACCGGGAUGGACACACCGCUGGUGUACCAGUUGUUCCGCCAGGAGCAUCGCUGGGUAGCUAUGUGUGGCAGGGAUAAACGCUGAAAGCAUCUAAGCGUGAAGCCCCCCUCAAGAUGAGAUUUCCCAUUUCUUCGGAAAGUAAGAUCCCUGAAAGAUGAUCAGGUAGAUAGGUUUGGAGUGGAAGUGUAGCGAUA